rnacentral:rRNA from 1 species
GAUGAACGCUGGCGGCGUGCCUAAUACAUGCAAGUCGAGCGAACGGACGAGAAGCUUGCUUCUCUGAUGUUAGCGGCGGACGGGUGAGUAACACGUGGAUAACCUACUUAUAAGACUGGGAUAACUUCGGGAAACCGGAGCUAAUACCGGAUAAUAUUUUGAACCGCAUGGUUAAAAAGUGAAAGACGGUCUUGCUGUCACUUAUAGAUGGAUCCGCGCUGCAUUAGCUAGUUGGUAAGGUAACGGCUUACCAAGGCAACGAUGCAUAGCCGACCUGAGAGGGUGAUCGGCCACACUGGAACUGAGACACGGUCCAGACUCCUACGGGAGGCAGCAGUAGGGAAUCUUCCGCAAUGGGCGAAAGCCUGACGGAGCAACGCCGCGUGAGUGAUGAAGGUCUUCGGAUCGUAAAACUCUGUUAUUAGGGAAGAACAUAUGUGUAAGUAACUGUGCACAUCUUGACGGUACCUAAUCAGAAAGCCACGGCUAACUACGUG